GCCGCUAUAGCUCAGUAGGUAGAGCGCAUCCUUGGUAAGGAUGAGGUCACCGGUUCAAAUCCGGUUAGCGGCUCCA
rnacentral:tRNA from 2 species